UGAAUUAUUCAUUUACCUUUCUGAUUUCUCUACUCUGUAGUCGUGAAUCUGAAAAUUUACCAACAUGCGUUUUUUGCUGACAGUUGUUCUCUUGGUUGCUGUAGUUAUGAUUGUUGCUAAUGCCAGUAGGAACGGUCGUCGUCGGCAUAAUCGUAAUAAUCGCCGUUAUGGGAGACCGAGAGCAGCUUUGAGAAACGCCAGCUGCCGAAGAGUAAAGAAUGCGGGUGUUUGUGAGAGAUGCUGUGAUCCGUGUGAAGACGUAGUAUGUACUGGGCCCCUAACGUGUGAUAUGGGAGUGUGUAAUUGUAACGGCACCAUCUGUGACGUUGAUCAAACCUGCACUGGAACUGGUGAUGGUGCCAGUUGUACAGACAAUUGUAACCCCGAUUGUAUUUUGCCCUUAACAUGUGAUGGGGGAGAAUGUAAAUGUGCAGGCAUCGUCUGUGACGUUUGUGACGAGUGCACUGAAACCACCUCAGGUCCAAAGUGUAUGCCUGGAUAAUUGGAUUCAAAUAUACAAUAUUAUAUAGAAAUAAUCUAAUAAAUAAUAAAUGAAAUUCACAUCUUA